rnacentral:misc_RNA from 1 species
UUUUAAACCGCCGCCGACAUAUUUAGUAUCAGUCACGCAGCCUUUAAUAUUUGUUGGCGUAGGGCUCUGAUACAGCUCGCGGUACAUUUCAAAAAGCCGUGAUAUAUUUGUUGUGUUUUUAAAAAUUUUAUUAUUUAUUGAUUUUUCUAUAAAUUAUUUAUAAAGUAAUAAACAAUCAAACGUAAAAAUGACUUUUUCCCAGUCAUUUGAAUUUGGUAAUAGUACUUUUAUGAAGCUGGAAAGUGAAGUGAAUCAUGCCAUACAGGACGAAGAUAAAGCAUUAGAUGUAAUCUUGGAAUCUCCAACUGCACCAAAAUUUGCAAAUAAAUCAUUAAGUAGAACUAAAUCUCGUUUGAUACAAACUGCUACCCAAAGCCAUAAAACUGGAGAUACCACACAUCGCAAAUUCAGAAGAAGCAAAUCUGACUCUACAUUACCCAAAGCAUCUGCUAACACUAAUGGUGCAGAUAAUUAUUCCGAUUUUUUUCGAAGUGAUUUUUCAUUUCAACACGAUGUCACCGAAGGAAAGCCUAAACAUCAUACCGAACAUAAAAACACUUCCGUAUUAAGAGUAUCCCAAAUAGAAGCAGCCUUUAACGAUAUGGACAAUAUAGUAGACGCUGAAAAUGAUACUGAUAAUGAUGUUGAAAACUCCUUUGAAAAACCAAUAUUUUCUGAAGACUUAAAAGAUCUACUAGAAACCGAAGAUGAUAAUAAUAUAUGGCAAGAUUCAUUACCACUGUCAGCCAUAAAUAAAACUGAUGAAAAUAUUGAUGAUCCUCCUGAAAUCCUGCAUGAAAUUAGUAGUUUUAUUUGUCCUCCCAAAGAUAAUGACGUAUUACGAGAACAACUUUUAAAUAAAGAAUUAGAAAUUAGUCACCGAAUUUUUAAGGAAUCCCAGCAACCACAAGAAAAUGUAUCAGAACGGAAUAUAAGCUUAAGCUGUAUGUCUCCAGAUCAAUUGAAAUUUACUCAGGAGUGUUCUCCUUCCGGAUCUAAUAUAAAAACUAAACACGAGGUGAUAGAUAAUACCUCUAAGCCUAAGAGAGCAGCAGACAAGUGUGAAGAGAUUGUAAAAAAUGAUUCAAAUAUUAUUGAAAAAUCAAAAGCAAUGGAAUUUCCCACCGAUAAUUUAGAAGCAUUAAAAAGUAUUAAAGCGUGGAACUUACCUUUGAGCGUUUUAACAGAAUAUGAACGAAAAGGUGUUAAGAAAAUGUUUGACUGGCAAAUACAGUGUCUAAGUAAUCCAAAAGUUCUUUUUGAGCAUUGCAAUCUUGUAUAUUCUGCUCCUACUUCGGCCGGCAAAACUUUGGUUAGUGAAAUUUUACUUUUAAAAACUGUUCUGGAACGCAGUAAAAAAGUUUUACUCAUUUUACCAUUUAUUUCUGUUGUACGUGAAAAAAUGUUUUAUUUGCAAGAUUUAUUAACAUCGGCUGGCUAUCGCGUAGAAGGAUUUUUUGGUGGAUAUACCCCACCAGGAGGAUUUGAUAGCAUUAACGUGGCCAUUUGUACGAUAGAAAAAGCCAAUUCAAUUGUCAAUAAAUUACUAGAACAGGGAAAAUUAAAUGAUAUCGGCACUGUUGUAGUCGAUGAAGUACAUUUAAUAUCAGAUCCAGGAAGAGGUUAUAUUUUGGAAUUACUACUGGCUAAAAUUUUGUACAUGUCACGAAAAUAUGGUUUGCAAAUUCAAGUCAUUACUAUGUCUGCCACAUUGGCCAAUGUAGAACUAUUGAAAAAGUGGUUGGAUGCUGAAUUAUAUAUAACUGACUUUCGUCCAGUGGCUUUGCAAGAAAUGAUUAAAAUUGGUAAUAAAAUCUAUGAUAACCAUUUGAAAUUAUUGCGUUCUCUUACGGAGCCCUCAGUCAAUGUUAAAGAGCCAUUUCCGGAACUACAAAAUGAUUCGGAUCAUGUGGCCCAAUUGUGUAUAGAAACUUUAGUAGAUGGUUGUUCAGUUAUUGUAUUUUGUCCCUCAAAAGAUUGGUGUGAAAACUUAGCCACACAAUUAGCUGGCGCUAUACAUUCAUUGGGAAAACAAGGUGGAGAAUGGGGUACUAAACUAAGAAAUCAAAUAAAUCGUCAAGCUAUUGAUCAUGUUAAGGAACAAUUAAGGGAUAUACCAACUGGUUUGGAUGCAGUUUUGGACAAAUGCAUAACCUACGGUUGUUCCUUUCAUCACGCUGGCUUAACAACAGAAGAAAGGGAUAUUGUGGAAGCUAGUUUUAAAUCUGGCGCUUUAAAAGUUAUUGUAGCUACCAGCACUUUAAGUUCAGGUGUUAAUUUACCAGCACGUCGUGUUUUAAUAAGAUCUCCUUUGUUUGGUGGCAAACAAAUGAGUUCUCUUACAUAUCGCCAAAUGAUUGGACGAGCUGGAAGAACUGGAAAAGAUAUUUUGGGAGAAUCUAUUUUAAUAUGUACUGACAGUAAUGCACGUGUGGGUAAAGAGUUAAUAACGGCUGAUUUAAGACCCAUAUCCUCCUGCCUAGACCACGACAGUAGUACACAUCUGAAGCGUGCCUUGUUAGAAGUUAUCUCUUCAGGUGUUGCUACCAGUAAGGAAGAUAUUGAUAAUUUUGUCAAUUGUACAUUAUUGAGUGCUCAAAAGCAAUUAGAAAAUCAAGAGAAAGAACAAAGCCAAGAUGACUGUACUGAUAGCGAAUACAUUGGGGGAGCUUUAGAUUUUCUUAUCGAGUAUGAGUUUAUACGCUUACAAAAGAAUGAGGAAACUCAAGAAGAACAUUAUGUAGCCACUCGACUUGGUCAUGCUUGUUUAGCUUCAUCUAUGCCUCCAACCGACGGUUUAAUAUUAUUUGCAGAAUUGCAAAAAUCAAGACGUUGUUUUGUUUUAGAAUCUGAAUUGCAUGCUGUUUAUUUGGUUACUCCUUAUUCGGUAUGCUAUCAAUUGCAGAAUUUGGAUUGGCUAUUAUUUCUCGAUCUCUGGGAAAAAUUAACACCGGCCAUGAAAAAAGUCGGAGAGCUGGUGGGUGUAAAAGAAUCAUUUUUGGUAAGAGCCAUGAGGGGUCAAACUAAACUAGAUUACAAAUUAAUGCAAAUACACAAAAGAUUUUAUACUGCACUGGCUUUGCAAGAGUUGGUUAACGAAACUCCUAUUAAUGUAGUUGCAAUCAAGUAUAAAUGUACACGAGGAAUGUUGCAAAGUUUGCAACAAAUGUCCUCAACUUUUGCUGGUAUUGUAACAUCGUUUUGCAAUUCAUUGCAGUGGGAUACUCUCUCAUUGAUUGUCUCACAAUUUAAAGAACGUUUGUAUUUUGGUAUACAUCGAGAUUUAAUUGAUUUAAUGCGCCUACCAGAUCUGUCACAUAAAAGGGCUAGAGCACUAUUCGAUGCUGGAGUAACAUCAUUGAUUGACUUGGCCAGCGCCGAUGUAUUGAGUAUUGAGAAAAUUCUUUACAAUGCUUUUAGCUUUGAUUCAGCUAAAAAACAUGACAAUGAAAAUGACUUUGAGGCAGCUCAACGCAAUGAAGCAAGACAAUUUUUUAUAACUGGUAAGGCAGGCCUCACAGUAGCUGAAGCUGCAAAAUUACUUGUCCAAGAGGCUAGACAAUUUGUUCAAUAUGAAAUAGGUGUGGGUAAUAUUAAGUGGUCUCAAAGUGUUUGUGAGGAUAACAAAGAAGAUAAUAAUAAUGAAAAUGAAAUGCACAUGUCUUAUGAAGAAAACAAAUUUCACAAUGUAAUGGUAAAGUAUAAUUUGGAUCAAACUAAUGACAAAGCCAAGGAUACAAAUGAUAAAAUCACUGAAAACAUCACAAAUGUUAAAAAUAAACAAAAUCCAUUAGAAUCUUUGGAAAAGAAAGAUAACGUAGACAAUAAGUUAAAAACAAAGUAUGAAGAUCAGAAUGUCGAUGAGGGUAAGAGUUUGAAUUCAAAUAGAAAUACAAAUAUUAAUUCUGUAGAACAAAGAAAACAAAAAGAAAAUAUUCAUCCCAAAAAUAUUCACAUGUCAUUCAAAAACGAUAUUUGUCUAGCAAAACCACUGGAAAGCAUUAAGAAAAUAAAACAAUCUCCGAAUGUUAAUCAGAAAGAAAACAAUACGACAUUUGAGGAUGAUUCCAAUCUCCUAAAUUUGAUAGAAAAUGUAGAGAAUAAUGCAAAAGCCAAUAAAGAAAUAAUUCAAAACGAAAAUAUUAAAAACGAAAAACAAACCGAAAAGCGCAAAUCUUCUGAAAAUCGUAAACAAAAUGUUGAUGUUACACCACCUAAAAUGCAAAAAGAAAAUAUAAAAAGUGUAACAGUUGAAAAGCGAAAAUCUUCGGAAAAUUCGAAAAGAAAUAUUGAUGUUACACCACCCAAAAUAGCAAAAAAGGAAACAAUCGCUAAAAUUGAAUCCAAGCAAACAAAAAUAAAUUCCAUUAAAACAGCUAAUGUAACCUUAAUAGAUCAACGUAAAUCAUCAGACCAAUUAAAAGAUUUAGCUGUUACUCCUCCAAAUGUUAUAAAAACGUCGGUACCAAAUAACAACAAUAAAAAAACCAUUGAGACUGAUGAGAAACCUAGUACAAGUCAAAAAGCCCAAAGAUUGUUAAGAGCCAAACAACUGUCUGAGAUGAAGAAACAAGAAUGGGCAAAAAGAAAAGAUCUAGAGCAAAAUAAAUUAGCAAAUACACCAGAAACUAAAUCAGCGACAAAAUCUAAAACCUCUAAUACUCCUGAUAAAAACGUAGAUAACUCUACUCCAAAAGCUGCACUGCAAACCCAAAAUAACAGAAAACUUCAAAAUACGAAUAAGAACUCACCAAAUACUCCAAAAACAAUAAACAACGAAAAAGAGGAAACAGCAAAAUUACCUAGAAGAAGUCCCCGUAACCAUUUAAUAAGUUCCACCAGAAUAGAGGUACCGACAAAUAUAACAAAAUCUAAAACAACUAUAAAAAGUCCAGAGAAUGAUAUAUUUGGAAAUGAGAAUGAAGAAUCUUUUACCAUCAACACCGGCAUAAAAGAAGCUCUAAAAGAAGCAGAUAAUUUUAAGAGACCUUCUAUACCGGAAUACAGCAAUAAUUCACCAGAAGAUGAAAUACCAAGUUCUCAACAACUAAUUGAAGAUGUGGCAGACAAUAAAACAAAUUCCCCUCAUGCUUCGCGCUUUUUAAGAUCUUUACGUGCCACACAAAAAAUCCAAAGUCCAAAGACUAAGCCAUCAAUAGAAAAUUCAAAGGUUAAAAAAUUACAAACAGCAGAGCGGCCUUCAGAACCACCCUCAUCCAGGCCUUCAGAACCUCCCUCAUCCACCAGCAUAGAGUUUUCCGAUCUAUCCAUGGAAAAUUCUCUUAUUAAGAAUCCUAUACAACUUAAUGCCUCACACAUUCUUAUGUGUUCAAAAGUUGAUACCGAAUCAUCUUCAUUCAAAUCUCUUGACAUAAUAGACAUUUGCGGAGAUCAACAACUUUUUAAGGGAGCAUUUAAGGAAUUCAUGGCAAGUAAACGUUUAGGAUUCUGUUUAGGCAUUCAGCAACAAUGUGGCAAACGUAAACCUAUAAUAGGAGCAAAUCUUUUACUAAAUCAAGUGGCUGCUGCAGAAAAAGAAAAUGAGCCUACAAAAUCCUAUGAAUUUCAACUUGACGAUACAAAUUAUUUGGCUGGUAUCGGAUUUUGUAUAUCGGAAAAUGUUGUGUAUUAUUUGAACAUGCAACAGGAGGGAUCUUGCAAAGGACUAACAGGAGAAAUAAAGUGCAAAUACUUACGUAUGUUGUUAAGAUCUUCGGAAAUUACUUUACUUAUCUACGAUGCUAAAGAACAAAUGAAAAUAUUACGUAAGAUUUUAAAAGAUAUUGGAGAUAUUGCAAUAGCUUUAGAAGACCCAAAAGUGGCUAAUUGGCUUUUGCAACCAGAUAAAAAUCACAAUUUACAUAGUUUGGUAUGCUCAACAAUUUGCUCCAGAAUGUUCUUCUUUAGUUAAUUUAUGUGGCAGUGGUCGAGGCUACAACAGCUAUGGCUUGGAUUCGGAUAGUGCGAUAUUAGCUAAGGUUAGAUCAUCCAUAGAAGCCUGUGUUACUAUACACAUUUUAAAAGGACAAAUAGAAAAUCUAGAACGAAUUGGUACGGGACAAUUACAAAAAUUUUUUACAG